GGCGGGGAAAAUUAGGGCGGGAAAAGUUAGGCGGCAGGGGGAGGGUUUUCCCCCCUAACUUUUCCCGCCCUAAUUUUCCCCGCC